AUUCCGAACUUCACCCACGGCUUGAUGCCCCGUAUUGUUUCAUGAAGUUUCUUGAUCAGGAUAUUCACGUUGCCACGACGCCAGUCCGCCUUAUUGCUGAAACCGCCUCCGUAACGGGCAAAGCUCGCAUUGUCCGGGAAAUCGACUCCCUUGAUCGGAUAAGGAUACCCUGGUAGUCCACACAGUAAACGAUGAAUACUCGCUGUUUGCGAUAUACAGUAAGCGGCCAAGCGAAAGCAUUAAGUAUUCCACCUGGGGAGUACGCCGGCAACGGUGAAACUCAAAGGAAUUGACGGGGGCCCGCACAAGCGGAGGAACAUGUGGUUUAAUUCGAUGAUACGCGAGGAACCUUACCCGGGCUUAAAUUGCAUUUGAAUAUAUUGGAAACAGUAUAGUCGUAAGACAAAUGUGAAGGUGCUGCAUGGUUGUCGUCAGCUCGUGCCGUGAGGUGUCGGCUUAAGUGCCAUAACGAGCGCAACCCUUAUCUUUAGUUACUAACAGGUCAUGCUGAGGACUCUAGAGAGACUGCCGUCGUAAGAUGUGAGGAAGGUGGGGAUGACGUCAAAUCAGCACGGCCCUUACGUCCGGGGCUACACACGUGUUACAAUGGGGGGUACAGAAGGCAGCUACCUGGUGACAGGAUGCUAAUCCCAAAAGCCUCUCUCAGUUCGGAUCGAAGUCUGCAACCCGACUUCGUGAAGCUGGAUUCGCUAGUAAUCGCGCAUCAGCCAUGGCGCGGUGAAUACGUUCCCGGGCCUUGUACACACCGCCCGUCAAGCCAUGAAAGCCGGGGGUACCUGAAGUACGUAACCGCAAGGAGCGUCCUAGGGUAAAACUGGUAAUUGGGGCUAAGUCGUAACAAGGYARCCCCAAAGCCUUUAAAUACA
rnacentral:rRNA from 1 species